CAAUAAGCAGCAGUGUAAUAUAUUCCUUUGUCUGUCCUUUUUGUUGCUCAUGAUACACGAUACAGCGUUCGCUGGGAGUGAUCUGUCUCGCUUGGCUAGAGAGCUGGCAGCAGGGCUGAGGUGAGGAGAGAGAGCGAGCACACUGAGGUUAGCCAUAAUAAAGAAAGUCAUGCAGAUUUGAAACAACAUGAAGAAUAAAGAAAGUCAUGAAGAUUUGAAACAACAUAAGGG